CGGGGUGUAGCGCAGCUCGGUAGCGUGCUUGCAUGGGGUGCAAGAGGUCGCAGGUUCAAAUCCUGUCACCCCGACGA
rnacentral:tRNA from 1 species